rnacentral:rRNA from 1 species
GACGAACGCUGGCGGCGUGCUUAACACAUGCAAGUCGAACGGUAAGGCUCCAGCUUGCUGGGGUACACGAGUGGCGAACGGGUGAGUAACACGUGGGUGACCUGCCCUGCACUUCGGGAUAAGCCUGGGAAACUGGGUCUAAUACCGGAUAGGACCGCACCGUGAGGGUGUGGUGGAAAGUUCUUUCGGUGUGGGAUGGGCCCGCGGCCUAUCAGCUUGUUGGUGGGGUAAUGGCCUACCAAGGCGGCGACGGGUAGCCGGCCUGAGAGGGUGGACGGCCACAUUGGGACUGAGACACGGCCCAGACUCCUACGGGAGGCAGCAGUGGGGAAUAUUGCACAAUGGGCGGAAGCCUGAUGCAGCGACGCCGCGUGGGGGAUGACAGCCUUCGGGUUGUAAACUCCUUUCACCAUCGACGAAGGGUUUCUGACGGUAGAUGGAGAAGAAGCACCGGCUAACUACGUGCCAGCAGCCGCGGUAAUACGUAGGGUGCGAGCGUUGUCCGGAAUUACUGGGCGUAAAGAGCUCGUAGGUGGUUUGUCGCGUCGUCUGUGAAAUUCCGGGGCUUAACUCCGGGCGUGCAGGCGAUACGGGCAUAACUUGAGUACUGUAGGGGAGACUGGAAUUCCUGGUGUAGCGGUGAAAUGCGCAGAUAUCAGGAGGAACACCGGUGGCGAAGGCGGGUCUCUGGGCAGUAACUGACGCUGAGGAGCGAAAGCAUGGGGAGCGAACAGGAUUAGAUACCCUGGUAGUCCAUGCCGUAAACGGUGGGCGCUAGGUGUGGGUUUCCUUCCACGGGAUCCGUGCCGUAGCUAACGCAUUAAGCGCCCCGCCUGGGGAGUACGGCCGCAAGGCUAAAACUCAAUGGAAUUGACGGGGGCCCGCACAAGCGGCGGAGCAUGUGGAUUAAUUCGAUGCAACGCGAAGAACCUUACCUGGGCUUGACAUAUACAGGAUCGCGCCAGAGAUGGUGCUUCCCUUGUGGCUUGUAUACAGGUGGUGCAUGGUUGUCGUCAGCUCGUGUCGUGAGAUGUUGGGUUAAGUCCCGCAACGAGCGCAACCCUUGUCUUAUGUUGCCAGCACGUUGUGGUGGGGACUCGUAAGAAACUGCCGGGGUUAACUCGGAGGAAGGUGGGGAUGACGUCAAAUCAUCAUGCCCCUUAUGUCCAGGGCUUCACACAUGCUACAAUGGUCGGUACAGUGGGUUGCCAGUCCGUGAGGGCGAGCUAAUCCCGCAAAGCCGGUCUCAGUUCGGAUCGGGGUCUGCAACUCGACCCCGUGAAGUCGGAGUCGCUAGUAAUCGCAGAUCAGCAACGCUGCGGUGAAUACGUUCCCGGGCCU